UUUGAUUACAGUAACUACAUUUCCAAUUCAAGUAGUUCCUUUUGAUGUUGUUACCAAAUUUGUAGCUUUGGUUGUCAAAAUAAGAGAAAAUAAUAAUUGUUAAUUUGACGUAAUUGUUAGCUUAAGCAAGAUUAAAACAAAACAUUCGAGACGAAAGCUUGCUUAAUUAGAAAGAGUUUAUUGACAAUACAGCUGGCCCUGUAUAAAAUGAAAGCUUAAUUAAUUGAAUUGAGUAAAAUUUCACCAACUACAUCAACGAAGCUAUUCCUACACAAGGAAACUGAGGAGAAUAACUUCAAAGUAGUUUCUCGGUAGAAGAUGCAGCUCUCAGUUAUAACAAAGAAUUAAACGCAGUGCACGCAAACUUCAAAAAUCAAGAUGACAUAAUUUCAAUAAUCCCAGAAUUACGGAUAUUACGGAUAUAUGAUUUUCUUUUUCCGUAUUCGAAUAGGCUAUAAAAUAAAAUAAAAAAAUCAUGAAUGUUAAAUUUCAGAAAAUAUAUUGCAAUAAAGAUAAACCGUCUCUGUUAAUAGAGUACUUUAAGAACUGUGAUAAGCAUUAAAGCUCACCUGGUCCAGAAAGAGUGCUGAUUUUUCCGCGUAAAUUGAACAGCAUUCAUUCCAAAUUUCCACUUAGUGGAGUUUGAAUAGCGCUCGAAAUCCUUGUUAUUUUAAAUUUAAAAAAAAAAAAUUACGCCCAAAAACGCAAAAGUAAUCGGUGGUUCAGGCGCCCAAACAAAUUAACGAGUCCAUGGGCCUCAACUCCAAAUUUUAUAUAUAUAUAUAUUUUUUAACGACCCAUCAUCAUUACAAAGAAUUUUUAGAGGGGAAAAAAUGAUAAUUAAUCCUUGAUUUUUUUUAAUGCGAAAAUUAUGAUUUGAAAUCGAAACUUACAAUAAAAUACGUAUUACUUGUAACAAUAUUAUUCAACUCUAUGCACUAUCAGUGUAUGUGUAAACCUUGCUCAACCCACAAUAGAGAUAAAAUGCAUUACAAAUAAAUAAUUCAUUAGAUUACAUUGCAUGAUGCUAUUUACUCAUCCAUCUGGUAACAACAGCGUGGUGAUUUGUCACAUUCACCUACGUCACAAUUACGUCAACGUGAUUUUAUCAAAUAAGAUUCUACAAACCGAUAACAUUUUGUAGAAAUAACAGCUUAUGUGGUGAUACAUGAUUUUUUGAGGCGACAUAAUUAGGCAGACAACGGAUUUGCAAGCGGCAAGCCGUGAUCCAGCCAUAAAGCUAUCGUAUCACAACCUGAAUCAAGCAGCCAUAAAAUAUGUAGGACUGGCUAUUAACUUGUUCAAAGCACGAGCCCUAACGGAACUAGCUGCAGUCCUACAUUAUUUCAGUCCUCCAGGUUGCAAGUUUGCAAAAGCAUCAUAAUUAACAUGAUCUAUGAACAUAUAGGCAAACGUCAUCUUGAUCUAUGAACAUAUAGGCAAACCUCCACUAGCUCCCAUGUCCAACCCCGCUCCUUCCUGGUUCAAUCAAGAAGCAAAAUGUUGUUUAUACAUAAGAGGCACAACAAAAAUCGUAUAAAGACACGCGAAAAUGUGAAUAAGAUCACAACAAAGUCAAGGCAUAACAAGCUAAUAACUGAAUUACACUGAAACUGGUCACUUGCAACAUAUAAAAAAACAGUGGCUAACCCAAAUAAAAGGAGUACAGUAUAUUUGUCUAGAUCUCUAUAAUCUGAAAUCUUGCAAAAUAUCAGAAAGCAGUACUGCAGGAUGUGAGAAGCUUCCUGAAAAUCUGUUAGCUGCAAAUAAGCGCUAUACCAAGCAAAUAAUUAUGGGAUUAACUCCUGAAAAUUAAGCCUAUAUGACAUUCAUUUGACAGUUUUCUUUUUCCUCAACAUGCGACCAUUUCUCCCAUGUUCUUUUACUCUGGUGUUGGCUAGUAUUCAAAAUAGCAAGCCACUCCCAAUAUGUUUUAGGGGAUCUUGUAAAUGAAGAAAGUAAAGUGGGAAAGACAAGCAAUAAGAACAAUUCAAAUUUUUUUUUUUUGAAAAUCUCACUAUAUAUUCCAAAGGAAAUUAAAGUACAUACAUAAUAAGCAUGAAAAAAAUUUCUAUCUUAGGUUACGUUAAAUCAAAUUAAUGGCAUAAUUUGAUUCCACCGUAUUUUGAAAAGGAAAAACUUUUAAGUCGCUCAAAUUCCUCAGCCAAUAUCUACCUUUUCUGUUAAAUUGAGACAAGAAAGAUAUUGCUGGCAGGACCAGGGCGGACAAAUUAAGACCUGAAAUGGGCACAGAAGCAACUCAAAUCAAUCUGCUAUACUGUGCUACAGAACAUUACCCCACACACCCCAAAUAAGAAAAACGAAAACCGAAAAGAUAAGAGGACGAGGAGGCGUGGUGAGGUGGGGAAGAAAACAGGUAUAUGAAUGCAAAAACUUUUACUAAAUCAAAAAGAGGAGAGCUAAAAUGAAAGAAAGAGUUGAAAUCACGUAAAAUCACUUGAUUUCAACAAUUGCCUAGUCAAGACAUGGUUUGAAGCAUGAACUCACAAUAUGACCGCAAAAGCAAAAUUAAACCAAAACAUAAAAGAACAAAGAUACUAUAUAUUACCUUUCAAUUUCCACAGAGGCCAACUCUUAUGGAAAAGGUCCCCAAGAAAAUGACACUUAACCAUAGGGAUCCUUGUACUCCUUUGGGACUUAUUUUUAUCCCAUCUUCCCAUUUCCAAGAUCAGUAAUGAAUUUUGACAAGUUUCUGAAGUUCUAACUUAGGCUAAAGGUGGUAAGCCAGAUGAAGUUUAUGGCUUGUUAAGAUGUGUUAUCUCAUCUGUGUUUGGCAAUCCACUUUAUAUAGAGUAGAAUAGCAAGAAUGGAUAAGCACAAGAGCUUAAGCAAAAGAAGAUACGACAGUACACGUCAAUUACCAUUGAAAAACUAAAAUUUUCAAAUUUAGAAGCUUUGCAUGUGCAAGACGUGUAAACCAUGCUAAAAAGUUGAAGCCACCGGUAAGUUACACGUGAAACCAUUAUAAACUACACAUACACUCAACUUUAUCAUAAGAAGGCAAAUAUUCAAUACGUUGAGUUAAUUUCACUCAUUGUAACACUUAUACUGUUAAAGCACAAGAUCAAAAAACAAGAUAAGAACAUAAUGCUUACCAAUGAAAAAUCCAAAAAAAAAAUAAUAAUAAUAAUAAAAUCAAGGCUUAUGCAUGCACUAAACAUGUAAAAUAUCAGAAAAAUUAAAACCAAUAUGAAUUAUAUGAGCAAUUAUCUGCUGUAUAAGAAGAAUGGAACAUCCCACUAAGUUUACGUAAACGCUGAUUACACUAACCAAAUAAAAAUGAAAGAGAUGUAAAUGAAAAUAGAUGACAUAUUAUAUGGAAAGAGUAUAUUUAAGGAAAAUGCAUGCACAAGAUAUUAUCCAAUAACUUACUUUCAAACGCCGAUUCACUACAAACAACUCCAUAGUUGGAAAAUGUCAAUCAAAAAAUAAAAUGAUUUUCACAACUUUUCCUGUGCACCCAUGUUGUUUUAUCUCAAGAAUCUUAGUAAUGUCAAAUAUAUGUAUAAUUACAUUUGAAUGAAUAGCAAUUAGCACUAGCAUGCAUAUCGUGAAAGAUAGGACUCAAAGCCAACAAAACUUGCAUAAUUUUGCAAAUUGAGAUUCGUACUUCACCCCUUCCUCCUCCACAAGUAACUACAUUAUGUGGCAUAUUCAACUUAAGAAUGAUCUUUGUCUGUAACCUGCCUUAUUUCAACACCAAUAAUAACCGUGCGUUCAAGUUUCAUUCAAAAUUUCACAUUAACAUAACAACAAAAUCUCAUAGUCCUCAAAACGGCACACAAGCUACAGAGUAAGUACUCAACCCCUUAUCUGAUGUACAUAGCUUCAUCAUCAGCCAAGCUCAAGUUCACUACAGUGAAGCUCAUUUAAUCAACUUCAAGAGACCAAUAGCGUUGGUUUUGUUAUUGAAUACUCCACUAAGAUAGUCUUGUAAGCACAACACAAGAGCUAACUCAACCUUAGAAUCCCGGAAAUUAUUUAUAUUCUUCGAAUUCCAUUAGUUUCUUUGCCAAAUUGUUGCUAAAUUUGUAGCUUAAAGUUGACAGAAUUAGAGUAAUAAAUUGUGUUAGUUUUGAUGUUGUCAUUAGGUAUACCGAGAAAAUAUGUACAGGUGAUGCCUAAUCCGGUAUAUAAAAUUAAAGCACGUAAGAUUGAAUCGAGUAUGAUUUUAACAAUUUUAUCAACCGAAUCGCUAUAAAAAUCAUUAACACUAAAAUCCAGAAAAUGAAGGCACAAGAAAGAUAAAACGUCGCCGUAAAAUUAGUAGUAUGAAAACUGUGAUGUAUUUUUAAGCUUACCGGUCCGCAGAUCGCAGAUUUUUAGGCUUAAAAUGAAGCAUCCAUUCCAAUGCUGACUGCUGAGUUUGAACAGUGAUCGAUGAUUCAGUUGUUUUAAUAUUUCAGCUACGAUAAGAGAAGUUUUUAAAUCCCUCUAAAUUUCGUAUAAAUCCUCCUCUUUAAGUGAAAUUACCUAAAUAACCAUAGAUAAAUUCUUU
rnacentral:lncRNA from 1 species